UACGUAGGGGGCAAGCGUUGUCCGGAUUUAUUGGGCGUAAAGAGCGUGUAGGCGGCCAGGUAGGUCAGCUGUGAAAACUCGAGGCUCAACCUCGAGACGCCGGUUGAAACCAUCUGGCUAGAGUCCGGUAGGGGAGCGUGGAAUUCCUGGUGUAGCGGUGAAAUGCGCAGAUAUCAGGAGGAACACCGGUGGCGAAGGCGGGUCUCUGGGCCGAUAUUGACGCUGAGGAGCGAAAGCGUGGGGAGCGAACAGG
rnacentral:rRNA from 1 species